GUCUUACGCUGGCGGCGUGCCUAAUACUUGCAAGUCGAGCGGACAGAUGGGAGCUUGCUCCCUGAUGUUAGCGGCGGACGGGUGAGUAACACGUGGGUAACCUGCCUGUAAGACUGGGAUAACUCCGGGAAACCGGGGCUAAUACCGGAUGGUUGUUUGAACCGCAUGGUUCAGACAUAAAAGGUGGCUUCGGCUACCACUUACAGAUGGACCCGCGGCGCAUUAGCUAGUUGGUGAGGUAACGGCUCACCAAGGCGACGAUGCGUAGCCGACCUGAGAGGGUGAUCGGCCACACUGGGACUGAGACACGGCCCAGACUCCUACGGGAGGCAGCAGUAGGGAAUCUUCCGCAAUGGACGAAAGUCUGACGGAGCAACGCCGCGUGAGUGAUGAAGGUUUUCGGAUCGUAAAGCUCUGUUGUUAGGGAAGAACAAGUGCCGUUCAAAUAGGGCGGCACCUUGACGGUACCUAACCAGAAAGCCACGGCUAACUACGUGCCAGCAGCCGCGGUAAUACGUAGGUGGCAAGCGUUGUCCGGAAUUAUUGGGCGUAAAGGGCUC
rnacentral:rRNA from 1 species